CUUUCUCUAGGCGUCGACCGGCGCACGGGUGAGUAACGCGUAUCCAACCUGCCCAUCACUUGGGGAUAACCUUGCGAAAGUAAGACUAAUACCCAAUGACGUCCAUAGAAGAACAUCUGAAAUGGAUUAAAGAUUUAUCGGUGAUGGAUGGGGAUGCGUCUGAUUAGCUUGUUGGCGGGGUAACGGCCCACCAAGGCGACGAUCAGUAGGGGUUCUGAGAGGAAGGUCCCCCACAUUGGAACUGAGACACGGUCCAAACUCCUACGGGAGGCAGCAGUGGGGAAUAUUGGUCAAUGGGCGAGAGCCUGAACCAGCCAAGUAGCGUGCAGGAUGACGGCCCUAUGGGUUGUAAACUGCUUUUAUAAGGGAAUAAAGUGAGUCUCGUGAGACUUUUUGCAUGUACCUUAUGAAUAAGGACCGGCUAAUUCCGUGCCAGCAGCCGCGGUAAUACGGAAGGUCCGGGCGUUAUCCGGAUUUAUUGGGUUUAAAGGGAGCGUAGGCCGGAGAUUAAGCGUGUUGUGAAAUGUAGACGCUCAACGUCUGCACUGCAGCGCGAACUGGUUUCCUUGAGUACGCACAAAGUGGGCGGAAUUCGUGGUGUAGCGGUGAAAUGCUUAGAUAUCACGAAGAACUCCGAUUGCGAAGGCAGCUCACUGGAGCGCAACUGACGCUGAAGCUCGAAAGUGCGGGUAUCGAACAGGAUUAGAUACCCUGGUAGUCCGCACGGUAAACGAUGGAUGCCCGCUGUUGG
rnacentral:rRNA from 2 species